AUCAAAAUCUUUUUUCAACCUUCACCAACAAAAUUAGUCAAUUGUUUUUUAUUUUGAUACGAGUUGAAUUUGCAGAAAGCCUUAGUUGUAAUUAUAUUUCUUAAAUAACAAUAUUAAUACAAUUUUAUUAAAAAAUCCCAUUCAAAAGUUUUUAUGAAAUAGACAAAGGACACGUCAUCGUUUCAUGGUCGGUGGCUCAGUGCGAUGCAGUGGGAGUAAUAAUUAAACUUGACUCUGUCACUCUGCAAAAUUUUUACCACACGUGCAUAACACGUGUUGCUGAUUUGAUGAGUUACUAGAUUUUGAAUAUUUACAGCGGGAAAAGAACUAAAAAGUUCAAAAAAUUCCGCAAGUGAAACUGUGAAAGUGUUAAAAUCAAUAUUUUUACUUUGGUAAGUCAAAGAUACGCGUUCACUUGGAGCGUGGUUCACACGGCACCGAAGGAGACAAGAAGUCAAAUAUUGGUACUUUUUGUGGGGACCACCUAACAUGUCUCCUUAUCUGAAAAUCCACGUUGAUUUGAAGCUCAAGUUCAUUUAUAUCGUUACCUAAUAAUUUAAUUGUUUUUAUAUUUUAAUUUAUGUAUUUUUAAAAAAAAAUUAGAAAAUAUUUGAAUAAAUAAUGUUUUAUUCCUAAAUGUUGCUAAUGCUUUUUGUUCUUUUUGAAAAUUUUGGAGUAUAU
rnacentral:lncRNA from 1 species